AGGGGGCGUAGUCGACCGAGCGGCGAGCGCUGGGGAUUCCUCGGGAGCGCAGGCCCGGAGCUCCUUGCUUUCGGUUUCUUCCCGGGGCCGACCGAAGCUUGCGGUCCGACUCUCGCCAUGAAGCUGCGCGUGCGGCUUCAGAAGCGGACCCAGCCGCUCGAGGUGCCGGAGUCGGAGCCAACGCUCGGGCAGCUGCGCGCGCACCUCAGCCAGGUCCUGCUGCCCACGUUGGGGUUCAGGUGAGCCGCGUCGCUGUCGUGGGGCUCGGGGGAUGGCGCGCUUCGAGCGGUCACGUGAGGCCCGGGCCUCCCGGGUGUAGCUGCACUGGGCGCCUGUGACUGUGACGCUCGGCAGCUGGGUGCUGGCCGGGGUCCGGCUCCGAGAGACCAUGGCCCAGCCUCCCCCGGGUGCCGCUGUCCUCCCCGGUGAGUAGUCACUUCCGGGGUUUCGGUCGCUGCGGCCCCGAGGGCGGGAAGGGAACUCGGGAAGCUUGGCUUGCGUUAAAUCUCCCGGUGUUAACUUGAGUUUACCUCUGCGGUUGGGAUAGUUCAGUGGUUAAAUCGGAAAAGCAUCGUGCUCAAGGUGACAAAAGUCUUGACACCUUAGGUCACUGUAAUUUGUGCCACUGCCCAAGGCUACAGUAACUUUAAAAACAGCUGAGCGUGCAAGUGGCAGACUGCACCUAACUGUAACUUUCUCACUUUCUCACUGUAAGGGUUCAGGAAGUACGCCUGUCAGCGGGCAUUCUCUGGGUGAGAAUGUUGCUUUUUUUUCACGAAUAGAGGCAUGACCCUAGAGAGCUUACAGUUUCAUGGCAAGUUGAAAAAGGAUUAGGUUCUAUUACUAAUUUAUGGGGUUCUAUUACUAAUUUUUGCAGAUGAAGCGUCUGUGUUUCUGCAGAAGAUAGUUUCAGGACAUAGAGAGAUAACUGUAUGGACGACCCACUUCAAGUGCUGAGCUAGAAAUUUGAACUAGUGAAG
rnacentral:lncRNA from 1 species